GGACCCGCACAAGCAGCGGAGCAUGUGGUUUAAUUCGAAGCAACGCGAAGAACCUUACCAGGGCUUGACAUCCUGCUGACAGGUCGGUAAAACGACCCUUCUUCGGACAGCAGUGACAGGUGGUGCAUGGUUGUCGUCAGCUCGUGUCGUGAGAUGUUGGGUUAAGUCCCGCAACGAGCGCAACCCUUGUCAUUAGUUGCCAUCAAGUUAAGUUGGGCACUCUAAUGAGACUGGGGCCGGUGAUAAACCGGAGGAAGGUGGGGAUGACGUCAAAUCAUCAUGCCCCUUAUGUUCUGGGCUACACACGUGCUACAAUGGCUGGUACAAAACGAAGCGAUACCGCGAGGUGGAGCCAAUCAAUAAAACCAGUCUCAGUUCGGAUUGUAGGCUGCAAUUCGCCUACAUGAAGUCGGAGUUGCUAGUAAUCGUGAAUCAGAAUGUCACGGUGAAUGCG
rnacentral:rRNA from 2 species